UAGGGAAUUUUCCACAAUGGGGGCAACCCUGAUGGAGCAACGCCGCGUGCAGGAUGAAUGUCUUCGGAUUGUAAACUGCUUUUAUCUGUGACGAAUAUGACGGUAGCAGAUGAAUAAGCCUCGGCUAACUCCGUGCCAGCAGCCGCGGUCAUACGGAGGAGGCAAGCGUUAUCCGGAAUUACUGGGCGUAAAGAGUUGCGUAGGUGGCAUUGUAUGUCGGUAGUGAAAGAGUGUGGCUCAACCAUAUAAACAUUAUCGAAACUGCAAGGCUAGAGGACGAGAGAGGUUAUUGGAAUUCCCAGUGUAGGAGUGAAAUCCGUAGAUAUUGGGAGGAACACCGAUGGCGUAGGCAGAUAACUGGCUCGUUCCUGACACUAAGGCACGAAAGCGUGGGUAGCAAACGGGAUUAGAUACCCCCGUAGUCC
rnacentral:rRNA from 1 species